GGAGUUAGCCGGUGCUUCUUCUGUGAGUGAUGUCCUUCCUGCCGGCUAUUAACCCGCAGGCCUUCUUCCUCACUGAAAGUGCUUUACAACCCGAAGGCCUUCUUCACACACGCGGCAUGGCUGGAUCAGGGUUGCCCCCAUUGUCCAAUAUUCCCCACUGCUGCCUCCCGUAGGAGUCUGGGCCGUGUCUCAGUCCCAGUGUGGCUGAUCAUCCUCUCAGACCAGCUACGGAUCGUCGCCUUGGUGAGCCGUUACCUCACCAACCAGCUAAUCCGACAUAGGCUCAUCCGAUAGCGCGAGGCCCGAAGGUCCCCCGCUUUCCCCCGUAGGGCGUAUGCGGUAUUAGCCUGGGUUUCCCCAGGUUAUCCCCCACUACCCGGGCAGAUUCCUAUGCAUUACUCACCCGUCCGCCGCUCGCCACCAGGGAGCAAGCUCCCCGUGCUGCCGCUCGACUUGCAUGUGUUAGGCCUGCCGCCAGCGUUCAAUCUGAACCAAGAUCAAAUCUGA
rnacentral:rRNA from 1 species